rnacentral:rRNA from 1 species
ACGCUCGACACCUACGGGAGGCNGCAGUCGGGAAUAUUGCGCAAUGGAGGAAACUCUGACGCAGUGACGCCGCGUGCAGGAAGAAGGUUUUCGGAUUGUAAACUGCUUUAGACAGGGAAGAAAGAAAUGACAGUACCUGUAGAAUAAGCUCCGGCUAACUACGUGCUAGCAGCCGCGGUAAUCUGAGCGGGCUGGCAAGGC